rnacentral:misc_RNA from 1 species
GAACGCACCUUGCGCUCCUUGGUAUUCCGAGGAGCAUGCCUGUUUGAGUGUCAUUAAAUUCUCAACCUCACCCGUUUUCCGAACGGUACCCGAGGCUUGGAUGUGGGGGUUUGUGCAGGCUGCCUCAGCGCUGGUCUGCUCCCCUGAAAUGCAUUAGCGAGUUCAUACUGAACCUCCGUCUAUUGGUGUGAUAAUUAUCUACGCCGUGGACUGGGUUUAGACUCGCUUCUAACCGUCCGCAAGGACAAUACCUUUGACAAUUUGACCUCAAAUCAGGUAGGACUACCCGCUGAACUUAAG